AUACUUAUCCAGCAAGGGAGGUACCAUGGUCACAGAGUUGGUUUUUCCAGGGCUUAGGCUUAUCCAUUGCACUCUCUGUGUGCUGAUCUCUGCAAUUUCCCCAAAUGUGGAAAACUCAACCACAUAGUUUGUGGUAGUGUAGGACUGCAUACAUACUCCCCUUAA